GACGAACGCUGGCGGCGUGCUUAACACAUGCAAGUCGAACGGAAAGGCCCUGCUUUUUUGGGGUUCUCGAGUGGCGAACGGGUGAGUAACACGUGAGUAACCUGCCCUUGACUUUGGGAUAACUUCAGGAAACUGGGGCUAAUACCGUAUAGGAGCCCCUGCUGCAUUGUGGGGGUUGGAAAGUUUCGGCUGUUGGGGAUGGACUCGCGGCUUAUCGGCUUGUUGGUUGGGUAGUGGCUUACCAAGGCUUUGACGGGUAGCCGGCCUGGGAGGGUGACCGGCCACAUGGGGACUAAGGGAGGGCCCAGACUCCUACGGGAGGCAACAGGGGGGAAUAUUGCACAAUGGGCGGGAGUCUGAUGCAGAAGCGUCGCGUGUGGGAUGACGGCCUUUGGGUUGUAAAACGCUGUCGCCUGAGACGAAGCGUGAGUGACGGUAAUGGAUGAAGAAGCACCGGCUAACUACGUG
rnacentral:rRNA from 1 species